rnacentral:rRNA from 1 species
UACGAAGGGGGCUAGCGUUGCUCGGAAUCACUGGGCGUAAAGCGCACGUAGGCGGGUCGUUAAGUCAGGGGUGAAAUCCCGGAGCUCAACUCCGGAACUGCCUUUGAUACUGGCGAUCUUGAGUUCGAGAGAGGUGAGUGGAACUGCGAGUGUAGAGGUGAAAAUUCGUAGAUAUUCGCAAGAACACCAGUGGCGAAGGCGGCUCACUGGCUCGAUACUGACGCUGAGGUGCGAAAGCGUGGGGAGCAAACAGG